UGCGACUCCGCGGUCUGAGUGGCAGGAGCCUAGUCUGGAAGCGGGCGGUUACUGGGGAGACGCUUUGUUUGCUAACUUCGAAAGCUGCUUCGGCUGCCUCGGCGGCUUUCGAAGCCACUCAACAAAACACGCCUUCGGGUCGGCUUAACCCUCCCCCUGCCCGCUUACAGAAGCCCGGCACAAAAAUGUUUCCGUCGGCGUGCUUAUCCUUGGCCACGCGGUGGCUCUCAUUAGGUACACAAAGGUAUCUUUCCUCGUCGAAGUGAGCUUGGCUAAUUACUGCGAUUCUCAGGCAACCGGGAUGGAAACCGAGAGUUGAAGCGACUUUAUAGGCACACAUAGUUCCAUUUGGUGUCAUCUUUUGAAGCUGCCUCAAGGCCAAGAAAAGACACAGAGUUGUGAUCCUCUGAGAAGGUGGAAAAGAAGCCGAAAGACAGUUCAAUGGCAAGAGUGCUGGAAAGUGGAGAAAGAGCAUAGACCACAAAGUUGGAAGUAUUCAUGGAAGACAGAAGAGUUUGCAGGGACAAAAAAAACUCUUGGAACCCAGCUACCUCUCCGAACCCAGAAACCGCUCUGUAAAAAGCACAGGCCACGUGGGAAGGCCACCUGAAGGUGCUACAGUCAACAGACCCAGCUAAACUUCCAGCCCCCAGCCAAGUGCCCGAGAGUGAGCCAUCUGAAUGACACAGCCCUCAAGAAAGCUCAGAAGAAUCCGAGUCAGCUCACCUCUCACAGAGCAGAAGCCUGACCCAGCAGAGCCCAGUCAACCCACAGAAUCACUGGAAAUUGUACAACUGUAUGCGAUUCAAACAAAUCUGCAUUUCUGUAAAUGACAAAGCCGAAAGAGAUAUGGAGCCCUCCUUAACUCUCCAACUCUAUUCAAGAUAAAAGAAUGGUCUUCAAUCCAAGACAGAUGCAGAAAAGAGCAUCUAGCUGCUUAACAUGAGAGCAGGGUUGUCGGCUUAGAUAAAUGACACCCCAGAGUACUGAAAGAAGUUGCAGAUGUGAUCACAGGGCAAUCCGACAGGGAGGAAUCGGGGAAACAGAGAGCUGGCAAAAGACUGGAGAUGGGCAAAUGAGUUCCAGAUUUUCCAGCCCAACAGGAAAAGCGACUUAUGGAUCUGUGCACUGGUGAAGUUUAAUGCUGAGCUUCAGCGAAACUCCAAUGAAUGAUUAAAGGGGCUUUGUGCGUAUUUAUUAAAGAAAAGUGGUGACUGCUAGGCACUCUCUUGAGUUCCCUGAAAUCUGAGCUCAGGCCAACCAACCUUGUUUCCAUUUUGUAGCACUUGACUGGAGGAACAGGAAAAUAUUGUAGUCAGAAAUGACUUAUUUGAGCAAGACAUUUGCCAGGAGUCUCUCAUGACAUCCUUGUGUACAGGAAAUGUGGACUGCUGAUUCCAGGAUCUGCUGUGUUCCAGUUUUCACUACAUAAGACUUCAGUCUCAAAGGUGCAAAGAAAUAAAAUGAUUGUAACAGAAAUACUUAGAAAUGAACUUUUAAAAAAAAACUAAUGACUUUUUGAUGUGAGAUAGUCACACUCAAAUAUCUUUCCUCACUUGGGUUAGUUUGCUAGGAUGGCAAUAACAAAAUAUCACAGACUGGGGGACUUAAGCAAGAGAAAUUUAUUUUCUCACAGCUCUGGAGGCUGAAGUCCAAGGUCAAGGUAUCAACAGCGUUGGUUUCUCCUGAGGCCCUUUUCCUUGGCUUGUAGAUGGCCCUCUUCUCCCUGUGUCUUCCCAUGGUCUUUCCUCUGUGUGUCUGUGCCCUAAUCUCCUCUUCUGGGGCGCCUGGGUAGCUCAGUUGGUUAAGCAUCUGACUCUGGAUUUCGGCAUAGGUCAUGAUCUCAAGGUUUGUGAGUUCAAGUCCCUCAUUGGGAUCUGUGCUGACAGCAUGGAGCCUGCUUGGAAUUCUCUCUCACUCUCUGUCUCUGCCCCUCUUCUAUUCAUGCUCUCUCUCAAAAUAAAUAAAUAAACAUUUUUAAAAAAUCUCAUCUUCCUGGGGUGCCUGGGUGGCUCAGUCGGUUAAGCGGUGGACUUCGGCUCAGGUCAUGAUCUUGCGGUCCGUGAGUUCGAGCCCUGUGUUGGGCUCUGUGCUGACAGCUCAGAGCCUGGAGCCUGUUUCAGAUUCAGUGUCUCCCUCUCUCUGACCCUCCCCCGUUCAUGCUCUGUCUCUCUCUGCCUCAAAAAUAAAUGUUUAAAAAAAAUUUUUUUUAAAUAAAAUCUCAUCUUAUUAGGCACCAGUCAUAUUGGAUUAUAGCCCACUCUAAUGGCUUCUUUUAAACUUGCAGGAGGCAUUACCCUAUCUUCAAAUAGUCACUGUCUAAGGUACUGGAGGUUAAGACUCCACAUAGGAAUUCCAGGGGACAUAAUUUAGCUCAUAACAUCACUUUACACUAGCAUCUGUCCCAACCCAAAUCACCAACUCCUUUGUCUGUUGAUGGCUUGCUGAUUUUCUUGUAUAAUACAUUACUAAAAAUAGGCACUAUAAUAUUAAAUGCUUACUAUGUGCCAGGCACUGUUUUAUGUGCAUUACCCAUAUGUACUCACUUAAUACUAUUAAAGCCCCUUAAGGUGAAUAUUAUUAAUUCAUUUUAUAGAAUUGAGGCUCUUGGUCAGGUAGGAUUUCAACCUGGAUGAGCUGGAUCCAGAAUCCAUUUAAAUAGCUAUCUUAUUUUAAGGGAUUCAAAUCAAUUGUGAAGUGAAAUUAUAAAUCUUGCAAAAGAUGCUGGACUUCAAGAAGUCUUUCAGAGAAUUGUUUGGAGGAAAUCCAAAAUAGAAAAUAAAAAAAAGAGAUCUGGAAGAGUCAGACUUAAUUGAGGAAGAAAAGAUUCACAAAGCCCUCAAAGGACCACAGAAAUGAAUUACUUGACUAUAAAAGGAAAAGUAAGGAUGUCAAGACAAUGAAUCAAGCCUUCUAAUAUUUUUGCAGAAAUGACUGUCUUUAUGAUGAUAGUCUGAAUGCCAAAAAUGAAAUGAAGAUGACCACACCUUGCUGUCAUAGUUUUGUCAGAAGGUCUCCCUCCUCUCAUAACAUAACAAGACUCGAGCCAUUCUUUUUUGUUCUCAGAACUGAUGCGCUAUUGCCAUCAUAACUGAAAUUUUGUUAACUUGCAAGUAAAAUGAAUUCAUUUGCAA